rnacentral:rRNA from 1 species
AGCGAACGCUGGCGGCAGGCUUAACACAUGCAAGUCGAGCGGGCGUAGCAAUACGUCAGCGGCAGACGGGUGAGUAACGCGUGGGAACAUACCUUUUGGUUCGGAACAACACAGGGAAACUUGUGCUAAUACCGGAUAAGCCCUUACGGGGAAUGAUUUAUCGCCGAAAGAUUGGCCCGCGUCUGAUUAGCUAGUUGGUG